UACGUAGGGGGCUAGCGUUGUCCGGAUUUAUUGGGUUUAAAGGGUGCGUAGGCGGGUCUUUAAGCCAGUGGUGAAAGCCGACAGCUCAACUGUCGAAAUGCCAUUGAUACUGGGGAUCUUGAGUACAGUAGAGGUAGGCGGAAUUAAUGGUGUAGCGGUGAAAUGCAUAGAUACCAUUAAGAACACCGAUUGCGAAGGCAGCUUACUAGAGUGUAACUGACGCUGAGGCACGAAAGUGUGGGGAUCAAACAGG
rnacentral:rRNA from 1 species